rnacentral:rRNA from 1 species
UACGGAGGGUGCAAGCGUUAUCCGGAUUCACUGGGUUUAAAGGGUGUGUAGGCGGGUAUUUAAGUCAGGGGGGAAAUCUCCGGGCUCAACCCGGAAACUGCCAUUGAUACUAUUUAUCUUGAAUUCUGUUGAGGUAGGCGGAAUAUAUCAUGUAGCGGUGAAAUGCUUAGAUAUGAUAUAGAACACCGAUUGCGAAGGCAGCUUACUAAACAGAUAUUGACGCUGAGGCACGAAAGCGUGGGGAUCAAACAGG